rnacentral:rRNA from 1 species
UACGGAGGGUGCAAGCGUUGUUCGGAAUUACUGGGCGUAAAGGGCGCGUAGGCGGCCUUCUAAGUCGGACGUGAAAUCCCUCGGCUUAACCGAGGAACUGCGUCCGAUACUGAAAGGCUUGAAUCCGGGAGAGGGAUGUGGAAUUCCAGGUGUAGCGGUGAAAUGCGUAGAUAUCUGGAGGAACACCGGUGGCGAAGGCGGCAUCCUGGACCGGUAUUGACGCUGAGGCGCGAAAGCUAGGGGAGCAAACGGG